ACCUGUGAGAAUAAAUACAGAAUGAUAGCAGGGAACUUUCAUAAUAUCUAGAAUAAAUUCCAAGUAAACUAAAAACUUUAGCGAGAAAAAUCUCUAAACCAUGUGCCUGCCUUUAAUCUUAGAAGGAAAUUUUUCUUAAGACACACAAAGCAUAUACUUAGAAAAUGAAAUGUGGCCACAUAAAAAAAUUCAAAUCUGUAACCCCUCUUCCCUUAAACAUAAUCAACUGACUAGGGGAAGAUAUUUUCAUUGUAUUUAGCCAACAAAUAGAAUGGGGGUUACUCUUCAGCUGGGCUAAAGAUCUCCAGAUCAAUAAUCAACCCACCAAAAAUCCAAAUGACCAAUAAAAAACAAGUUCAGCUUCUACUUCUUAAUAAUAGAUAUUGGCUGAUAUAUCCAACAUGCUGAGAAUUAAUGAGAAUUAUAUACUCAUCAGUGACCUGCAGAGAUACUUUUUACUUAAGAAAGCUUAACAUAUUUCUACAUGAAGCUCUGUGUAUAUUAUGGCAAGUUGAUGAGCUUUGGAAAAGACAGGGUUUGCACCCCCUUCUAUAUACUCUUGCACAUAAACAUCUAAAACAAUCAUAUUAAAGAAGAAAUGCAUGGAAGAAAGGACAUUGAAAGAGAAAAAUACCUAAGUUUGAAAAGAAUUUUCUCAAAUGUUUAACUGGAUCUCAAAACACUGAGCAGAUAGAUCUUUUUGUCCUAGAUUUUUGAAAAUCAUCUUUAUUAUUUGAAAUGAUUAUAAAGACAAAAUAAUAAAAAUAUAGCCGGAAGAAAGGAAGUUCAAAUGCAACCCAUUUGAGGACAAAACACUUUAUGUUGUUAAUGACAGACAGAUACUGUUAUCAGAAAAGAGAUAAGCCCUCACCAAUGCCAGGCCUACAAAGAACAAGGAGACUGAGUUAGUCCUAAUCAUUGCUUUCUCAAGAUACACAUUUUUGGAAGUCUCAAAGCACUGAUGUCUAACAGACCCAAUUAACAUGGUGUUGGCAUAGUUCCUGUUCUAGGAAUAUUAACUAAAGGCCCCAAGCAGGUUAUCUGGAACCAUAAAUUUUCUGGGUGUUCAUCUGACUCUAAGGAUAUGUGGAUUCCAACCAACAGGAGGCUGUGAGUUAGGGGCUGUAGGCAGUCACAUUGGUUUGGUCUCAAGUCUGUGACUUGAAGCAGGUUAAGGUUUCUUAAAAUUUCAUUUUUCUCAUCUGCAAAAUGGUGGUAACCUAUCGUGUUCCCUCACUAGGUUUUUACAAGGAUCUAAUGAGAUGAAGCAGAUGAAGUCCUUGAUGAACCCCUCAGUGCUGUGCACACCAGAGGUUAUGCCAGCUUUUGGACUUCUUAUACACGAGAGAGAAGUAAACCUUCUUGUUUAAACCGUUGUUGUUUUGGGUUUUCUGUGACCUGAGGCCGGAGAGAAUUCUAAUUUGAUCAGGGUGUGUCUGUCUAUUGAGGUUUUAAGCAAGUAUCUUUUAGAAUAGUUUUAUGCUUUUUCCCCAAAAACCUCUUGCAUAGUUUUUGUGUAGCACACUUUCAGGCGGCUUUCAGUUAUUACUGCGCAGUGGUAGCUUACAGUACUGAAUGCACAUCUAGCUGUUUUUCUCGUUCAGCACGGUUUUUGAGCUGGUCCCUGUUAAUGGAUAUAGAUCCUACUUGCUUCUUGAAUUGCUGCACAGUUUUCCUUUUUAUGGAUGUAAUGUAUUUUACUCAUCAUUUUGCUACAGACAGAAAUUUAAACUGUUUCAUAGUUUCCAAUUUAGCAAGCACUGCCAAAUUCUUCCCCAGAGAGAGGUACCAUUAGAUACACUUUUGAAAGAAAAGUAUGAGUGUUCUCCUUUCCCUACAUCUUGCCAACACAUCGUAUUAUGAGAUUUCUUAUUUAUGGCCAACUUGAUUUUAAAAAGAUGAUUCCUAGUAGUUAUAAUUUUCACCCAAUAACUAAUAUUAGUUUGAGUAUCCUUCCCUCUAUUUGUUGACCAUUUAGGUUUUAACUUUUGUCUAUUUUCUGUUCAUUUACCCAGAUUUUCCCUUUAUUUUGUAUUUAUUAUUGAAUUAUAGUUAUUAAUAUAUUCUGGAAUUAGCCUUUUGUUGAUGUAAAUACAUUGCAAAUAUCUUCUAUUUGCUUAGAUUUUUAUGAAACUUUUUGCCAUUUAGAAGUUAAACAUUUUAUGUAUGUGUGUAAUAUAUAUGUGUGUAAUAUAAAUUAUAUACUUUUUGUAUGAUAUUUAUAUAAUCCUAUUAGGAUUUUAAAACAAUGGUUAUUGUUGAUAUACAGGAAAUUCUGUUGCUUUUUUUGUAUGUUGAUUGUGAAUUCUGCAAUCUUGGUGAACUGUUUAUAUUGGCUUGACAUUUGAUUCUCUUAGCUUUUUUCCAGUGAGGAAGGAAGAACAUAUAAUUUGCCAAUAAUGACAAACUACAUUCCUGUAUUUCCAGUCUUCAUACCUCUAAUCUUGUCUUAUUGUGUUACUGAUAUUCUUGGUAAAAUGAUGAAAAGAGAAACAUUUUACAAGCAGCCCAAACAUAGCUAAAAAAUUUUUUUGCUAAGUGCUAAAAAAUUUUUUUGUAAAGCAGCCCAGACAGUAGUGAUGAUGUUCUACCUCGAUGGCUGAUGCUUCACACAAGAGGUUACAAGUAAUUAUUUACUGAUUUUUUUUUCAUCAGUAAAAUCCCUGACCUUCAAGAGAGCUUUUGGGAAAUACGAUAUUUAAUUCAUUUAUUAUUCAAAGAGUUUUUUUGUAUUAGAUAGAUGUAAGAAAUUGAAUAUUGCUGUAUUGCUUUUAGUGUUUGGGCUGAAAGGCACGAAACCAAGAUAAACAGAAAACCUGUAUCCAUUAAAUUUUUAAGUAAAAUAAAGGUAAGAAAAAAUCUUUGGGUAGAGUGCUAAGCCUGAACAAAGAAACUAGCUUUACCGGUCUCCAGAAAGAUUCAAGAGGAGGGAGCAGUAUAAUAUUCAGAAAUCCUUGAAUGCCUUUUCCCAGGAAUAAAUCUGCAGGCUUGUUGUACACAAGAGCACUGGCAAGGCUUGUCUGUGGAACAGGUGCAUCUUUCCCUUUCUCUCUAUCCACUUAAACAGUGUUCAUGGAUUUCUAGCCUGAUGCUAGACAGAGGCCAGGAAGAUACCAGGACAUCGUCUUUGCUCUGCUAAGAAGGAGAUCUCAGGGGCACUCAUCUCUCCUGCGGCUGCUUUUCCACUCUGAUGCUGCAGAUGCCAUGGGAUUUCUGGGCCUGGUCUCCACCUGGGUGCUGCUUUAUCUGGCCCCUGGUCUUUUGGCUCACAGGCCAAAAACACCUUAUUGAGGGGUGAGCUUCUUGGCCGGCAGAAGCUUCAUGUCCUGUGAUUGAUCACGGUCACCCUUCACUGUGCGUGUCCUAAACAUCACCAUCUUGCUGUUUUAGGCUCAGUCCAUUCGUUAUUCCAUUGUCUUCCUCUUCAUUGGUGCUGCCCGUCUGAUUGUAGUGAGCCAGCUGCAAAUUUGCUGUGUGCUUUUUUAGGUUUUCUUAUGCCUGAAUACUGUUGUUUUUCAACAGUCGUGACUUCUCCAAAUAUUUCUUUUGCUUUAUCUGGCAUUCGUCAUUCUCCCUUAUUGCUCAAUACCCUUUUGUAAUUUUUAUCUCUUUAUUCCCUUGUGCUGCAGUUUUUAAGGUUUCUUCCUUAAUUUUUAUAAAUUCUCUCCUUAAGGAUUUAGUAUAUGUUUAAUUCUGUUCAUUAAUUUAAAUACUUUCUUUGAAUACUUAAAUACUUUCAGACUUUCUUUCUGCUAGUGGGUUUUUGUGUGUGUUUUAAUGUAUCUGCCUGCUUCUUUUGAAUACCCUGUCUUUUUUCAUGGAUAAUAUUUUUCUGCCCCAGUUUUUUGAUGGACGUUCCUGUGUAUCGUGUCUGUUGACAAUGUCCUCACGUACUCUGUAUCCUUUUGUUUAGAGCUCUUGCUUAGGAGCGCUCUUGAGAGUCACACUCACGUUUUCCUGAACUUGGCUCUCUGUGACCCACUGCUGUCAAGUUAACAGGGACCGUGAGCAAACAGCCUGUUUCUGGCCACCACUAUUUACAGUUUGGGCAUGUGCUAGACUGCAAGAAAGGAAGAUGGGAGCAGUAGACAUUGUUAGAAUCAUUGGUAAAUAUGAAAUUUCUUCAUGCACUUGAAUAAUUCUUCAUUUUGUGAUCAUGGGCAGUCCCUAGAAUCUCUUCAGAUUCCUGAGCUGAAUAAGUAUAUUAACAAUAUCAAUAUCAAUAUAUAUUAUAUAUAUGAAAUCAGUAUUGUAAUGUAAAAUAUUACAUAUAAAAUAGCAUAUGUGGGUAUAUAUAAACAUCAUUAGUAUAAUUAUAUUAUUGAUAUAACUGCUCAGCUCUGGGACCUAGAGAGAGAAUUUUGAGAACUGUCCAAGAUCAUAAAAUACACUGAGUUCACGAAGAGACCUCCUGUCUCCCAACUAUUUCAGUGAUAUCUACUGGCUCACAUAUGACUUUCUUGAAAUCCAGCAUUUGCGAUUUUAAAUGCAUAUGACCUUGACCAAUGGUAAGUAAGAACACGAAGACAGGAACAUGGAGUCAGGGAUACAGCCUUGAGGCUGGGGGCACAGACACUGGAGCAGACAGCCUGGGUUCAAGCUGGGUUUGGCCACUUACAUCGGUGUGACCUUAGGUGUCUGUGUAACUUCUCAGUGGCUCAGUUUCUUCUUUUGUAAAACCGGGAUGCUAACAGUACCCAUGCUAUAUAACUGUCAUGUGGAUGAGCAACAUGUGAAAUGUUCACGCCAGAGCUGAUGCAGUAAACCCUGGAUGUCAGCAUUAAAAACAUGGUAAAUUUUUAAAAACAAAUUUGAUUUCCAGAUGGAAAGCACUGACAUGCACAUAGAGAAAACAGGCACUGGGCCGAGGACUGGGUUUUCUAGGAGAUUACCUUUGUACACUCUUUUGACAAGCAGGGGCCCAUCUCCAGACAUGGAUGACUUCCCUCCAUCCAGACUCAGGCCCAGCCCGGCUGAGGUCUUCAGCACUUCAACACACAGAGCCUCGUGCGCAGCCGUGCUUCUCCCUGCUGAUGACAGUGACCUGAGGCCCUGCCUGCCCAGGGCCCCCCGGCGUGUUCCCUGAGCACUCUCGAGUCCUGUCCACCAAUGCUAAGGUUGGUCUCCCCACACCUGGAGCUGUGCUCCUGCCGUCCCCACCCCUCUGCUCGCCUGAGCACCUUCUGCAAGCACAGACAAGGCACUGCUGCCCAGGCAGAAAUCCCUCCAGUCAGUGCACAGCUCAGGGUAGACUGAAGUCACGCUUCGGGAAUCAGAUUCGAUUUCCUGCCAGCCUUCGCGGCUGAACAUCACAGUCUGGUUCUGACAACCUGUGAUACCCAAAUGCCAGGCCUCAUGUGAGACGUGGCGCUUCCAUCCUCCUUCUGUGAGGGGUACCCCUGCUUCUGGUUGUCUGUCUGUGUCACAUACUAGCUGUCUUCAUUGCCAUCUCCUGGCUCCACUGUGGGGAGAGCGUUUCCGUGGUGAUGCCUGCUCCAUAGCAACAAGCCUGUGCCUACUUUGUGUGCUAGUUUGGAGAGGCCUGGCUGAGGUCUAUCUCGGGGGUCUGAAUACAGAUUGUAAAUUUGCCUUUUAUUUCCCUUCUAUACUGUACCAUUGAAGGAUGUCUUGAGUUGAGUGGAAAGGGCACAUAAUUGCUUGGGAGGCAGGGGAAGGACCACAAACAGAUUAAACUGUCCACUCGGGGUUGAGACCAAGGUAGCAUCACCAACUUUGAAUAUAACAGCCAUUCCUGUGGUUUAAAGAAGGCCACUCCACAUGGUCUGAAAGAAACUUCCUUACAGUGGGAGGGGCACCGUUUUUCAAUAGGUCAUUUUACUUUCAGUUAAACAGGAAAACGAGCCCAUACUGGAAUCACCUGGGAACUGUAAAAAGAUACUGGGACCCUAUCCCUCACCCCACACUCACCCUCAGAGUUGGACUUAAUUGACCUGGGGAUUUCCUGGCAUCAGGAUUUAAAAAAGCUUCCUAGGCACCUCUAACAUAAAGCCCGAGUGGGCUGCAGUCAGUGCUUGAUAAGGCAUAAUCACCUUAUCAUGGGUAAAGCAUAUCAGAUCUGGUAGAGCCCUGGGCAGGGGGAUCUUGAAGAAUAGGAAUACGAAGAAAUAAAUUUAUGCCCUAUUAAAGCUGGUUCAAGGCCAGAUGCCCUGAAGCUGCUAUAGGAUUACUUAAUGAUUAUAAAUUUCAGGACAGCCUUCUGUAUCUGAGUUCCUGAGUCUUACAAACUCUGAAAGCUGUUAGGACCGAGUGCCCGGUGGUUUCCUUUGACAGCUUAAGUUUCCAGGAUUCCACUGAAAAUACAC